rnacentral:rRNA from 1 species
CCUACGGGAGGCAGCAGUAGGGAAUAUUCCUCAAUGGGGGAAACCCUGAAGCAGCAACGCCGCGUGGACGAUGAAGGUUUUCGGAUUGUAAACUCCUUUUGUCAGGGAAGAUAAUGACGUUAUCUAAUGCCUAAGCACUAGCUACCUCCGUGCUAGGAGCCGCCGUCAUCCGGAGGGCGCAAGCGUUACUCGGAAUCACUGGGCGUAAAGCGGGAGUAGGAGGGAUAGCAAGUCAGAUGUGAAAUCCUAUGGCUUAAACAUAGAACUGCAUAUGAAACUGCUAUUCUAGAGUAUGAGAGAGGUAGGUGGAAUUAUAGGUGUAGGGGUAAAAUGCGUAGAGAUAAAGAGGAAUACUAGUUGCGAAGGCGACCUGCUAGAACGUAACUGACACUGAUGUGCGAAAGCGUGGGGAGCAAACAGGAUUAGAUACCCUUGUAGUC